AAAUGUCCUCUAUUAAGAGUUAAUCCAUGUGAGUGGAUGCUAGACAAAGAGUGGGGGAGUCCAAGGGGCUGCGCUCCUCAGUCUUACUUCAUACCUGCACCAUGG